CCGAGCAUGCUACACGCGUGAUGGAGGUGUUGCUUGAAAGCUAAACAACUACUCUACUGGUAUUUUAUACCAGUAGAGUACCAUAAAGUAAUGUCACUGCUGCGGAGCUGUGGAUACGAGUACGUCAAGACAAGAACGCGCACCAGACGUUAAGCUGCUCUUGUCACAUUCACCACGUUCUAGCCGUCGUGUACUUUAGCACAAUGCAGUGUCAUGUGCCAACAUAUGUUGAUGCGCAACACGGAUCUUUUGCGCCAACAAAACUCAAAGCAGCAGCACCAGUAUAACGCAUACCACGGAGUCGAAAGUACCGACGCUAAUGGUCACAGAAACUGGACUCCGUGGAGAACACAGCCUGAGCUUGGACAAAACUGUAAGCUCUCAUCACCGUCAGUGUCCAGAGUGGUGAAAGCUUGAGCGAACUGGCGUAGCCAGAGGGGGAGUUCUGGGUGUUCAACCCUCCCCGAAAUGGUACCUCCGCGAGUGCAUUUGGGAGGGGGAAACGAGGGGAAAUCCUCAUCUCCCAUCUAAAGUCCCCAUAGAACUCCUCCCGAAAUAUUUUUUCUGGCUACGCCGCUGCUUGCGUGUCUACCAUGAGUACCUUUUAUUGUGAUUGAUCGAUUGAGAUAUUAAAAAUAUGGAGCACUUUUUAUUGUA